UACGGAGGGGGCUAGCGUUGUUCGGAAUUACUGGGCGUAAAGCGCACGUAGGCGGCUUUGUAAGUUAGAGGUGAAAGCCCGGGGCUCAACUCCGGAAUUGCCUUUAAGACUGCAUCGCUAGAAUUGUGGAGAGGUGAGUGGAAUUCCUGGUGUAGCGGUGAAAUGCGCAGAUAUCAGGAAGAACACCAAUGGCGAAAGCAGCUCUCUGGGCAUUAACUGACGCUGAGGAGCGAAAGCAUGGGGAGCGAACAGG
rnacentral:rRNA from 1 species